AACCGCACAGUCACUGUAGCAAAGCCCCUCAAAAAGGCUGUGGUGAUGCCCUUACAACUGAUUCAGGAGCAGGCAGCAUCCCCAAAUGCUGAGAUCCACAUCCUGAAGAAGAAAGGCCGGAAGAGAAAGCUGGAGUCCCUGGAUGCUUCAGAGUCAGAGGAGAAGGCUGAGGACUGCUGGGAGCUACAGAUCAGCCCAGAGCUACUGGCUCAUGGGCGCCAAAAAAUAUUAGAUCUGCUGAAUGAAGGCUCUGCCCGGGAUCUGCGCAGCCUGCAGCGCAUUGGCCAAAAGAAGGCCCAGCUCAUCGUGGGCUGGAGGGAGCUCCAUGGCCCCUUCAGCCAGGUGGAGGACCUGGAACUCGUGGAGGGCAUAUCCGGGAAACAGAUGGAGUCAUUCCUGAAGGCGAACAUCUUGGGUCUCACCGCGAGCCAGCGCUGAGGCCCCUCCUGACUGCCAGCUCCUUUCCUUCCUGUGCCAUGUUUUUGUUUUGUUCUUUAAAUCCUCAUAUAAUUGCGUGUCAUGUAAAUACAAUUUUUA